GGGGGGGUGCCAAAUCAGAAUGCGGAUCAUAACGGAUGAUCCGCUGUGGCGACCCCGAACGGGAGCAGCCGAAAGACGAACAACAACAUUUGUUCUUGCUAUUUAUUCUCAUUUCCUGAAUAUUCCCAUUGAAUGAUCUCGGUGGUCCUUCAGCACAGGUGAUGACCCCCUCAGGCCGCAACCCACAGUCACACAGCACCUCGGGUGCGCAAGACCAACAUUCGAGGAGUCAAACUUCUGGGGGUUCUUCCUCAACGUCAUCGGGGCAUGCGGACCAGAGGCCCCACGUCGGAAUUGCACAGUUUUCUGGCCCGCUAAGUAUAAGCUCAGGUCACCAAAAUUCACGCAUGUCGCAUGCUGCGAGUGGAACUGCGAGAGGACAAUACUAUUAUCUUGGAGAUAACUGGCAUGUCCCAAUGAGCUGGUGGUCCCCUCCAAACGUCACACCAUCAAGGGGCAUCGAUCGUGGUGCGAGUGGUUUUUCCGGAGCACACCAUAUUGAUCUUGGGAAGAGGAGUAAUAUGGGUGAAAGGAUGGAUCGACAUCACUCAGGAAUGGGAGAUCAUUCUGGCAACCAUCCGCCACAAAGACACGGUCCCUCAAGCGGUCCGCUACAGACAAGCUCCGCUUCUGUCGCUCGGCAACCUGGGCAACCACACCUUGAACAUCAGGUUGGGGAAGGAAUUAAAUUGCGUCGGCAUUCUGAAGGGAGAUCAGGCUCUUCCACAGAAGGGAGUCAUACACCUGAUUCUGCAGGUAGUAACACUCGUAAGACAUGGUGCUGAGCCUCCCCAGAAAUGAGAGAUCGGCUUCCUCCAUGUGCGCCACCAAGAGGUUGAGAAAACCAUGGGAUUUAUAUGGAGGGGAUCUCGCACGGAUUUAAAUUUACCAGCUGUUUGGAGAACCUGGAUCUUGUAUUUCACAUGAUGUGUCAUUUUGGUCACGUGGGGAGUCUGUUUUGUGCUCUACGUGGGAUUUGUUGCACAACUUGAUCCAAUGGGGCCGCAAGUCGAUCUGUAAAUCUCUUAUUUGUAACUUGAGUUACCAACACACAAAGUUUUUUCUGAACUCGGUAAUUAAAGUUGUUUGUGUUUAAAUCGUCCUUCGUUCAUCACUUGGUAUUGUCAUUUCAAAAUGUGGAAUAAAAGUUAUGAAUCUGGA
rnacentral:lncRNA from 1 species